GACAGAGGGUGCAAACGUUGUUCGGAAUUACUGGGCGUAAAGCGCACGUAGGCGGCUUUGUAAGUUAGAGGUGAAAGCCCAGGGCUUAACCCUGGAAUUGCCUUUAAGACUGCAUCGCUAGAAUUGUGGAGAGGUAAGUGGAAUUCCGAGUGUAGAGGUGAAAUUCGUAGAUAUUCGGAAGAACACCAGUGGCGAAGGCGACUUACUGGACACAUAUUGACGCUGAGGUGCGAAAGCGUGGGGAGCAAACAGG
rnacentral:rRNA from 1 species